rnacentral:rRNA from 1 species
AUUGAACGCUGGCGGCAUGCCUUACACAUGCAGGUCGAACGGUAACAGGUUAAGCUGACGCGUGGCGAACGGGUGAGUAAUGUAACGGAACGUGCCCAGCCGUGGGGGAUAACUGCUCGGAAGCGCAGCUAAUACCGCAUACGACCUGCGGGUGAAAGCGGGGGAUCGCAAGACCUCGCGCGAUUGGAGCGGACGAUAUCAGAUUAGGUAGUUGGUGGGGUGAAGGCUCACUAGGCCGACGAUCUGUAGCUGGUCUGAGAGGACGACCAGCCACACUGGGAAUGAGGCACGGCCCAAACGCCUACGGGAGGCAGCAGUGGGGAAUACUGGACGAUGGGCGCAAGCCUAAUCCAGCCAGGCCGCGUGCGGGAAGAAGGCCUGCGGGUUGUAAACCGCUUUUGUCAGGGAAGAAAAGGUUCUGGCUAAGAGCUGGGACUCAUGACGGUACCUGAAGAAGAAGCACCGGCUACCGUC